rnacentral:rRNA from 1 species
GAGUUUGAUCAUGGCUCAGAUUGAACGCUGGCGGCAUGCCUUACACAUGCAAGUCGAACGGCAGCACGGGAGCUUGCUCCUGGUGGCGAGUGGCGAACGGGUGAGUAAUGCAUCGGAACGUAUCCUGGAGUGGGGGAUAACGUAGCGAAAGUUACGCUAAUACCGCAUAUUCUGUGAGCAGGAAAGCGGGGGACCUUCGGGCCUCGCGCUCUUGGAGCGGCCGAUGUCGGAUUAGCUAGUUGGUGAGGUAAAGGCUCACCAAGGCGACGAUCCGUAGCAGGUCUGAGAGGAUGAUCUGCCACACUGGAACUGAGACACGGUCCAGACUCCUACGGGAGGCAGCAGUGGGAAUUUUGGACAAGUGGGGCAACCCUGAUCCAGCCAUGCCGCGUGAGUGAAG